AAAUUGAAGAGUUUGAUCAUGGCUCAGAUUGAACGCUGGCGGCAGGCCUAACACAUGCAAGUCGAACGGUAGCACAGAGAGCUUGCUCUCGGGUGACGAGUGGCGGACGGGUGAGUAAUGUCUGGGAAACUGCCUGAUGGAGGGGGAUAACUACUGGAAACGGUGGCUAAUACCGCAUAACGUCGCAAGACCAAAGAGGGGGACCUUCGGGCCUCUUGCCAUCAGAUGUGCCCAGAUGGGAUUAGCUUGUUGGUGAGGUAACGGCUCACCAAGGCGACGAUCCCUAGCUGGUCUGAGAGGAUGACCAGCCACACUGGAACUGAGACACGGUCCAGACUCCUACGGGAGGCAGCAGUGGGGAAUAUUGCACAAUGGGCGCAAGCCUGAUGCAGCCAUGCCGCGUGUAUGAAGAAGGCCUUCGGGUUGUAAAGUACUUUCAGCGGGGAGGAAGGUGUUGUGGUUAAUAACCGCAGCAAUUGACGUUACCCGCAGAAGAAGCACCGGCUAACUCCGUGCCAGCAGCCGCGGUAAUACGGAGGGUGCAAGCGUUAAUCGGAAUUACUGGGCGUAAAGCGCACGCAGGCGGUCUGUCAAGUCGGAUGUGAAAUCCCCGGGCUCAACCUGGGAACUGCAUUCGAAACUGGCAGGCUUGAGUCUUGUAGAGGGGGGUAGAAUUCCAGGUGUAGCGGUGAAAUGCGUAGAGAUCUGGAGGAAUACCGGUGGCGAAGGCGGCCCCCUGGACAAAGACUGACGCUCAGGUGCGAAAGCGUGGGGAGCAAACAGGAUUAGAUACCCUGGUAGUCCACGCCGUAAACGAUGUCUACUUGGAGGUUGUGCCCUUGAGGCGUGGCUUCCGGAGCUAACGCGUUAAGUAGACCGCCUGGGGAGUACGGCCGCAAGGUUAAAACUCAAAUGAAUUGACGGGGGCCCGCACAAGCGGUGGAGCAUGUGGUUUAAUUCGAUGCAACGCGAAGAACCUUACCUGGUCUUGACAUCCACAGAAGAAUCCAGAGAUGGAUUUGUGCCUUCGGGAACUGUGAGACAGGUGCUGCAUGGCUGUCGUCAGCUCGUGUUGUGAAAUGUUGGGUUAAGUCCCGCAACGAGCGCAACCC
rnacentral:rRNA from 3 species